rnacentral:rRNA from 1 species
GAGUUUGAUCCUGGCUCAGGAUGAACGCUGGCGGCGUGCUUAACACAUGCAAGUCGAGCGAUGAAGUUUCCUUCGGGAAACGGAUUAGCGGCGGACGGGUGAGUAACACGUGGGUAACCUGCCUCAUAGAGUGGAAUAGCCUUCCGAAAGGAAGAUUAAUACCGCAUAACGUUGAAAGAUGGCAUCAUCAUUUAACCAAAGGAGCAAUCCGCUAUGAGAUGGACCCGCGGCGCAUUAGCUAGUUGGUGGGGUAACGGCCUACCAAGGCGACGAUGCGUAGCCGACCUGAGAGGGUGAUCGGCCACAUUGGGACUGAGACACGGCCCAGACUCCUACGGGAGGCAGCAGUGGGGAAUAUUGCACAAUGGGGGAAACCCUGAUGCAGCAACGCCGCGUGAGUGAUGAAGGUUUUCGGAUCGUAAAGCUCUGUCUUUGGGGAAGAUAAUGACGGUACCCAAGGAGGAAGCCACGGCUAACUACGUGCCAGCAGCCGCGGUAAUACGUAGGUGGCGAGCGUUAUCCGGAUUUACUGGGCGUAAAGGGAGCGUAGGCGGAUGAUUAAGUGGGAUGUGAAAUACCCGGGCUCAACUUGGGUGCUGCAUUCCAAACUGGUUAUCUAGAGUGCAGGAGAGGAGAGUGGAAUUCCUAGUGUAGCGGUGAAAUGCGUAGA